GACGAACGCUGCCUGCGUGCUUAACACAUGCAAGUCGAACGAUGAAGCCUAGCUUGCUAGGUGGAUUAGUGACGAACGGGUGAGUAAUACGUGAGUAACCUACCUUUAACUCUGGGAUAAGCCUGGGAAACUGGGUCUAAUACCGGAUACGACCAAUCUCCGCAUGGGGUGUUGGUGGAAAGCGUUAUGUAGUGGUUAUAGAUGGGCUCACGGCCUAUCAGCUUGUUGGUGAGGUAACGGCUCACCAAGGCGACGACGGGUAGCCGGCCUGAGAGGGUGACCGGCCACACUGGGACUGAGACACGGCCCAGACUCCUACGGGAGGCAGCAGUGGGGAAUAUUGCACAAUGGGCGCAAGCCUGAUGCAGCGACGCCGCGUGAGGGAUGACGGCCUUCGGGUUGUAAACCUCUGCUAGCAGGGAAGAAGAGAGAUUGACGGUACCUGCAGAGAAAGCGCCGGCUAACUACGUGCCAGCAGCCGCGGUAAUACGUAGGGCGCGAGCGUUGUCCGGAAUUAUUGGGCGUAUAUAGCUUGUAGGCGGUUUGUCGCGUCUGCUGUGAAGGCCGGAGCUUAACUCCGUGUAUUGCAGUGGGUACGGGCAGACUAGAGUGCAGUAGGGGAGACUGGAAUUCCUGGUGUAGCGGUGGAAUGCGCAGAUAUCAGGAGGAACACCGAUGGCGAAGGCAGGUCUCUGGGCUGUAACUGACGCUGAGAAGCGAAAGCAUGGGGAGCGAACAGGAUUAGAUACCCUGGUAGUCCAUGCCGUAAACGUUGGGCACUAGGUGUGGGGAACAUUCCACGUUUUCCGCGCCGUAGCUAACGCAUUAAGUGCCCCGCCUGGGGAGUACGGCCGCAAGGCUAAAACUCAAAGAAAUUGACGGGGGCCCGCACAAGCGGCGGAGCAUGCGGAUUAAUUCGAUGCAACGCGAAGAACCUUACCAAGGCUUGACAUAUACUGGACCGCAUCAGAGAUGGUGUUUCCCUUCGGGGCUGGUAUACAGGUGGUGCAUGGUUGUCGUCAGCUCGUGUCGUGAGAUGUUGGGUUAAGUCCCGCAACGAGCGCAACCCUCGUUCUAUGUUGCCAGCACGUUAUGGUGGGGACUCAUAGGAGACUGCCGGGGUCAACUCGGAGGAAGGUGGGGAUGACGUCAAAUCAUCAUGCCCCUUAUGUCUUGGGCUUCACGCAUGCUACAAUGGCCGGUACAGAGGGUUGCGAUACUGUGAGGUGGAGCUAAUCCCUAAAAGCCGGUCUCAGUUCGGAUUGGGGUCUGCAACUCGACCCCAUGAAGUCGGAGUCGCUAGUAAUCGCAGAUCAGCAACGCUGCGGUGAAUACGUUCCCGGGCCU
rnacentral:rRNA from 1 species